GUGGAGAACGGCUAUAGCGUGGACGAGCUCGUUUGCUCCUGGUACGUGGACCAAUGGUACAGCGUGUACAUGGGGCUGGCAUUAAUACGUGGGAGACGCACACGCGGGUGCAUCGCCGCUGCCAACCGGCGAGGUUGCCUCAACCGUGCAGAUGCAAAAGCAGACGGAGCAGGAGGAGGAGUGCCGAACGUAUAGGUAUAGCUAGCCUCCGUCUCCACGAGACACGCCCGAGCUCUUCCCCGAUCUUAUCGCUGCUCUGCGUCGCAUCGUCCCUCUCCAGCGGCGACUCCAAUGUGAAGUGUAGUAGUACUGUCAAGAUGUGAGCAUAAUCUCAUUUUUCUCUAUUUAGGUUCAGUCCCGUUCAGUUAGGUUCAGGUCCACCUUACUGGCAUGACAACAUGGGGCUCUGACGGGAAGAUGGCAUCUGAAGCAUAGUAGUAAUGUCUACGCUUCUGAUCUGUAUCUACCUUGGCCAUUUUUUGGAAACGUCUUGUAGGGUCAAUGGUAUUCGUGAGCGAAUAUUUUUUCCUCUUGAACAUGGCAAGUUUGAAAGAAAUUUCUAUUGGUCACA